GAGGAAUAUUGGUCAAUGGGCGAGAGCCUGAACCAGCCAAGUCGCGUGAAGGAUGACUGCCCUAUGGGUUGUAAACUUCUUUUGUAAGGGAAUAAAAAAAGGUACGUGUACUUUAUUGUAUGUACUUUACGAAUAAGGAUCGGCUAACUCCGUGCCAGCAGCCGCGGUAAUACGGAGGGUGCAAGCGUUAUCCGGAUUUAUUGGGUUUAAAGGGUGCGUAGGCGGUUUGAUAAGUCAGCGGUGAAAUAUUUCAGCUUAACUGGAAGGGUGCCGUUGAUUCUGUCGAGCUUGAAUUUAGUUGCUGUGGGUGGAAUGUGUGGUGUAGCGGUGAAAUGCAUAGAUAUCACACAGAAUAUCGAUUGCGAAGGCAGCUCACAAAGCUAAUAUUGACGCUGAUGCACGAAAGUGUGGGGAUCAAAC
rnacentral:rRNA from 1 species